rnacentral:lncRNA from 1 species
ACCUUGUUUCCUCGUGUCAAGACGCAAUGAACAGAGCAAAUCAAUGGGAGAACCAGGUGAAUUGCAAAUUACUACGGUCUAGUUACUUUGUUAACGUCAGUCUAAUUUUCUGGCACUUUAUUCCUUGAUACUGAGACUUCUCUCUUGAAUGUCCAGUUAAAGGAAUGUCUCAAGAAGAACGAAGAACUCUGCACAAUGCUCAACAAAUUCAGUACAGAACAAGCAGCUGUACUGUCUAACAACGAAACACUUCGAGGCUCAAAGGAAGGUGAAAGCGAUAGCUUAAAUGCACAAGGACAUAUGCCUGAGGCUCUCUCCCUUAAGGUUAUUGCCAAUUGUCACCUUGCACCUUCAUCAAAUUACAGUUCUUGCCCUACCCACUCACUUCUCUCUAUGGUCUUCGUUCCACGAAUGUGCAGGGAGAGCUCGUAAAAGAACAAAGCA